UUCGGCUAGCUUGUCGAGAUGCGACAGUGAAUACAUUCAGCUAGCUUGUCUAGAUAUGUCCGAGAACACAUUCAGCUAGGUCGUUCAGGUAUGAAUAUGAAUGUGAAUACAUUCAGCUGGGUCUUUCCGGAUACAAAGAUGAAUACAUUCGGCUAGCUUGUCGAGAUAAGACAGUGAAUACAUUCGGUUAGCUUGUCGAGAUGCGACAGUGAAUACAUUCGGCUAGCUUGUCGAGAUACGACAGUGAAUACAUUCGGCUAGCUUGUCGAGAUACGACAGUGAAUACAUUCGGCUAGCUUGUCGAGAUACGACAGUGAAUACAUUCAGCUAGAUUGUAGAGAUACGACAGUGAAUACAUUCAGCUAGCUUGUCGAGAUGCGACAGUGAAUACAUUCAGCUAGGUCAUCCUGUUUUGAAUGUCAAUAACUUGAGUAUGAUGAUCCGUCAGCAGGUAGGUCAUUAUGAGCUUAAAUAUAUCUUGCUAGGUCACUGUACUAAUUCCCCAGGUUCAGCACGGUGUCAUGGACAAAACAAUGUCAGUCUAGAAACUACAACUAAUGGUGCCAUUUGUUUACCCUGCCUACUGUGAUCUCCAUGGUAACAAAAUGAUGAAUUAGUGGCUGAUUUCAUCAUCACCUGUAAUCAAAACUCUGUGUUUGCUUGAUGUUUAUUCUGUUUGCAUGUUUGUUUCUUGUACCGGUAUAUAUAGAUGCUGUGAACUGUAUGUCCUCUGUCAAUGUUUGACAAAAAUACUAGAAAUCAAGGUCCCACCAUUUUAUGUGUUUAUUGUUAAGUGUCUGAAAGCUGUCCAAACUAACUACAUGUGUUCACAGAUUUCCUUGUCAGUAUGACAGUAGGCUGUGUAAUAUUGUUUUUAAUAUCUGCAUUUCUAAUUUAUCAGUAUUUACGAAAUGUGAAAUAUGUUUUACCAAAAAGUAAGAUUUAUAUUGCAGACACUUUCAGAAAUAAACUUUUGUAUGAUAAGAUUAAAAUCAACUUAUUAUCAAGCUUGUCCACUAUUAAAAACCUGAUAUAUCUCUGGCCCACUGAAUGGAAAGAUAUGUACUGCAGAUGGAGUAGCUUUGUGGUUAAAGAGUUCGCUCGUCACGCCGAAGACCAGUGUUCAAUUCCCAACAUGGGUACAAUGUGUGAAACCCAUUUCUGGUGUCCCCGCUGAUAUUGCUGGAAUAUUGCUGAAAGCAGCACAAACCCCCACUCACUCACUUUGAUUAAUCUUUGUCUGACAGUAUCAUUAGAUUCAUUAUAUUUACACAAUAUUACUGCAAGCUUGGACAAACAGAUCCGCCUUGCAAACGCUUUGCCUGAGUAUAAGUAUUAUAUAUAUAUGUAUAUACACAUGGUCACAUGCUUUGCUUGCCCAUAUUUGUUACUUAAAAUACACAACUCAGCUUUUGAGAAUCAGGUAUAUGAGACAAAUGAAAAUAUACAUUUGAGAUGUGAGAAUUGUUUUUGUGUGUCAUGGAAAGAUAGAAUAUUCCUACCAAAAGUUGAGUUGUAUAUUAUGCAAGGCUCCAGAUAAGGGCCGUAUCAGUGUAUGUACGGAAAAAAAAUAUGCACGAUACGGUAGGAAAUAAUUUAGAAAAUGUAGCAUAUAUGAAACAAAACACAAAAUUAGAAUGCACCACAGCAGUGGUGUAUGGUCUUAGAAUCAUUUACAGACGUACUUACCCGUAUCUCAAAAAGUAUUGUUUUGUUGUUUACUGACCUGUUUACACAAGACUAGCAAUGUUGUGGUGCAUAUAUGAAACAAAACACAAAAUUACUGAUAUUCCUGUAAUUCCAUUCAGUACUCUAAAUGAAAAAAUAAGGAGUACAUACUCCUGAUGUUGAAACAUUAUCUGGAGCCCUGAUUAUGAGGGGUAAACAGUGUAUAGGACACAAAUCCCAGUGAAAGUAUUUAACAAAACAUUCCAGUUUUGAUACCGUUGCUAUUUAAUGUAGGUCACUUUCAUCUGUCACUUGGACUAACAGGUAUCGACAAUUAAUUGAUUCAAAACUAUUUCUUAUCUUCAUGUCCUAAUCUGAAUAGAGAAGUUGAAUUUAUUUGGCCUUAUUCUGGAAACCACAGUUUCUUAACAGUAAGUGUUUAUUUUUAUAUUUUUGAUGCUGCCCUCAGCAAUAUUUAAAAUAUAUAUGAUGAUAACUGGUAAAUAGUCACAAUCCUGUGGUUGAUAUUAAGAGCAAUAAUCCCUCUGCUGGGUUAUGGUGACCUGCCAUCAACCAAGAUAGAACUGUUUGAAUAGACUACCUGAUCCACUGCACCACCCUGUAUCGCAAGCAUGAGUUGUUCAAGACCAGUUCUACUCUGGAACCCUUAGCAUCAUCCAUUAAUAACUAUACAGACCUUUACUGUGUUGAGGAUGUGUAAAACCUUGAAAUAUGUAAAUCUGAUGGUUUCACCACGAACAGUCUAGAUUAAAUUGGUUUCACUGUUGAUGGAACAGAAGUGUUUCUGAAUCUCUGGUAAAUAUCCUAGUUUGGUGUGAAAUUGACAAUAAUUAUUUAAAUGAAGUGGCCAUGAACAAUGACCAUUAGCUGUAUUUGUUUACCAUCCAUAGCUUUGUAGCACAACUAUGCAUGAGAAUACAGUGGAAUCUGUCGUCAUGGACUGUCUGAAAGAAAUUUCUCUACUUUGGAACCAUUUGUCAUCAUCGUAAAUAUAGUUUUAGGGUUUGUUAUGAGGAAUUCUGUUAACAUCACAUCAUUAUGGGCGGGGGAUUUAUGUUUCUGUGCCACGUGUAGCACAUCUCAGGAUGUAGUUUUGAUGUCAAAUCAAGAUUGGAUUGAGUUUUUUUCUGAUAGAGAUCAUGGUGAAACUCUUGCAGAUCAGUGAAGUCUAUAGAUACUUGGUCAAGAUGAUGGUGAAAAUCUUUGAUGUUUUACUGAAUUUUCUUUUCCGCAGCAGACAACAGUGAAAGAGCAUACAGCAUCUCCUAUCCCCUGUGUUAAGGAAUUGUUGUUUUGUAGAGUUGAUCAUAUUUACUUUGAUAAGAUGCAAAUUAUCUAUGAUCAGUGCUCACAAGUUUUCAUAGAGUUCGCCUGGUAUUGCUGGAGUGAAAGAGAGAAUGUUAGAAGUUUAGUUCAUUGUGUGUGAGUUGUGCUUAUGUUUAGUUUUUAAGGUAAAUUUUUAACCAUAGCAUCAUUUUUGAGGAACAAUAACAGGUUCCCUGAUGUUUUGGAAUAGGAAUUUUAAUAAAUCAGUGAUAUGAAAACUAACUUUUAAUUUAUUAUUUUAUGAGAUUUAUUGUGUGUUAAAAACUGUUCAUUGUUUACAUGAGGUAUUAAUUUCUUGUAUUUGUGCUUUAUUUAUGUUUUAAUAAUUAUAACUUGAUUGAUAUAUUCCAUUUUAUAGCAACCCGGUAAAAAAAUAUGUUUCUUUCAUUUUGUCUGCCCAUAUUAUUUGCAGCAUUUGUCCGUGACCAAGAAGUCUUAACACAAAGGCUUCACAGAUGAAUUGUAAAAAGGAUUUCGUUGUCAAAACCAUACAUUGCUACUUGCUAGCAAACAUUUAGUUAUGUUUUGUGGACAGUUUCCAAACCCUUUGGUUAUUUAGCUACAACUUUGCAGCAUUAUUUAAUACCUGUACUCUGUCCAUCACGAAGUGGAUGCAGAACUAUAAAUGCAUGUCGGACUGUCCUGGAAAAAGACUAUUCCUUGUGAUCACUUUUUAAUCAAACCAUUUAUAUGUGCCCUUUGUCAGAGAAGUUAACUUCAGCAACAAUCAAAUCUUUGGAUUCUGCAUUGAGGAAUGUCUUGUCUGUAGAUCCCAUGCUCUGUAUAUUUGUAUCUUGUAUGCUAUUUGUCAAAGAACAAUCUUUGUUAGGUGUUUGUUGUGGUGUUUUUGUACUUAAGGUGUUCUCUACACUCUCUUUUCCUUGUGAAAUGUUCUUAGUUUACUAGAUUGUAGGAGGCAGAUUUUCUUAAGUUUUCAACCAAUUUUUCUCUGCUGACAGUCAUUUUUUUUGUUCCACUGAUUAUCAUAGUGAUAUUUUGAAAAUGUUAAAGAAAGUUUUUAUUGACAUCUUUGAACAUCAUUUUGAUCAUAUUUGUUUCAACAUUGAUUUAAAAAUGUAUUCUCUAGGAAAUUAACUUCAAAUUAUCCCUGGCAAUUUAAAAAUUCUUGUUUUCUGCCUCUUGGUACUUUUAUAUACAUGUAGAAAAUCUAGAAAUGAAGAAAAUCUGGUUUUGCAGUAAAACACAAAACAUGUACUUCAUUUUAUUGUCGGUUGAGUAGUUUUUCUGUGGCAGUUAGUCAUCAACAUCCUCAUGUGAAUAGCAUUGAUAUGGAUUUUAUUUGUAUUUGAUUGUUGGUAAGUAGAGAUCAAGUCAUUGCACAUUGUGAAAGGGUCAGCAAGAGUUACCUGCUCCUGGAUCGUGCUGUCACACACACAAAGGCCUGUAGCUUUGUUAUUAUUCACACCAUGCUUAUAAAAUUGCUGUGUAGAAUAUAGGUUGAUAUUAGAUUGCUUGUAUUAUGUUCAAUUAUCUCAACACUAAACAUUUCCAGCAUAAUGAACGCUGUCUAUCUCAGAAGCUGAAAUGUACGACUGAAAUGUGCGUGUCACUCAACUGCUGUUAUUAAUGUAUAGACUUUCAGUACUCUUGCUAUUUAUUUUUUUGCUUGAUAUGUUGUGUAUCUAUCACAGUGUUACAUUCAGCAGUUGUGACAUUUUAUGAUGAUGACGAUGAUGGUUAUGAUGAUGAUUGUGUCAUGAAUAAAUCUUUUAUUUAAA